rnacentral:rRNA from 1 species
AUUGAACGCUGGCGGCAGGCCUAACACAUGCAAGUCGAGCGGAUGAAGGGAGCUUGCUCCUGGAUUCAGCGGCGGACGGGUGAGUAAUGCCUAGGAAUCUGCCUGGUAGUGGGGGAUAACGUCCGGAAACGGGCGCUAAUACUGCAUACGUCCUGAGGGAGCAAGUGGGGGAUCUUCGGACCUCACGCUAUCAGAUGAGCCUAGGUCGGGUUAGCUAGUUGGUGGGGUAAGGGCCUACCAAGGCGACGAUCCGUAACUGGUCUGAGAGGAUGAUCAGUCACACUGGAGCUGAGACACGGUCCAGGCUCCUACGGGAGGCAGCAGUGGGGAAUAUUGGACAGUGGGCGGAAGCCUGAUACAGCCAUGCCACGUGUGUGAAGAAGGUCUUCGGAUUGUAAAGCCCUUUAAGUUGGGAGGAAGCGCAGUAAGUUAAUACCUUGCUGUUUUGACGUUACCAACAGAAUAAGCACCGGCUAACUUCGUG